rnacentral:rRNA from 1 species
CGAACGCUGGCGGCGUGCCUAAUACAUGCAAGUCGAACGAGAGCGACCGGUGCUUGCACUGGUCAAUCUAGUGGCGAACGGGUGAGUAACACGUGGGUAACCUGCCCAUCAGAGGGGGAUAACAUUCGGAAACGGAUGCUAAAACCGCAUAGGUCUUCGAACCGCAUGGUUUGAAGAGGAAAAGAGGCGCAAGCUUCUGCUGAUGGAUGGACCCGCGGUGCAUUAGCUAGUUGGUGAGGUAACGGCUCACCAAGGCCGUGAUGCAUAGCCGACCUGAGAGGGUGAUCGGCCACAUUGGGACUGAGACACGGCCCAAACUCCUACGGGAGGCAGCAGUAGGGAAUCUUCCGCAAUGGACGCAAGUCUGACGGAGCAACGCCGCGUGAGUGAAGAAGGUUUUCGGAUCGUAAAACUCUGUUGUUAGAGAAGAACAAGUGCUAGAGUAACUGUUAGCGCCUUGACGGUAUCUAACCAGAAAGCCACGGCUAACUACGUG